rnacentral:rRNA from 1 species
CGGACGGGUGAGUAACGCGUGGGUAACCUGCCUUAUACAGGGGGAGUAACAGUCAGAAAUGGCUGCUAAUACCGCAUAAGCGCACAGAGCUGCAUGGCUCAGUGUGAAAAACUCCGGUGGUAUAAGAUGGACCCGCGUUGGAUUAGCUAGUUGGUGGGGUAACGGCCCACCAAGGCGACGAUCCAUAGCCGGCCUGAGAGGGUGAACGGUCACAUUGGGACUGAGACACGGCCCAGACUCCUACGGGAGGCAGCAUG